CCUACGGGAGGCAGCAGUGAGGAAUAUUGGUCAAUGGACGAAAGUCUGAACCAGCCAAGCCGCGUGAAGGAUGACUGCCCUAUGCGUUGUAAACCUCUUUUAUAUGGGAAUAAAACAGGGUAUGCAUACCCUCUUGUAUGUACCAUAUGAAUAAGGAUCGGCUAACUCCGUGCCAGCAGCCGCGGUAAUACGGAGGAUCCGAGCGUUAUCCGGAUUUAUUGGGUUUAAAGGGGGCGUAGGUGGAUUUUUAAGCCAGGUGUGAAAGUUUGCGGCUCAACCGUAGAAUUGCAGUUGAAACUGGGAGUCUGGAGUGCAGUAGAGGCAGGCGGAAUGCGUGGUGUAGCGGUGAAAUGCUUAGAUAUCACGAAGAACUCCGAUUGCGAAGGCAGCUCACUGGACUGCAACUGACACUGAGGCUCGAAAGUGUGGGGAUCAAACAGGAUUAGAUACCCCUGUAGUC
rnacentral:rRNA from 1 species